UAGGGAAUAUUGGACAAUGGGGGCAACCCUGAUCCAGCCAUGCCGCGUGAGUGAAGAAGGCCCUCGGGUUGUAAAGCUCUUUUGUCCGGAAAGAAAAGCUUCGGGUUAAUACCCCGGGGUUCUGACGGUACCGGAAGAAUAAGCACCGGCUAACUUCGUGCCAGCAGCCGCGGUAAUACGAAGGGUGCAAGCGUUACUCGGAAUUACUGGGCGUAAAGCGUGCGUAGGUGGUUGUUUAAGUCUGAUGUGAAAGCCCUGGGCUCAACCUGGGAAUGGCGUGGCAAACUGGGCAGCUAGAGUGCGGUAGAGGGUGGUGGAACUCCCGGGGUGGCGGUGAAAUGGGUAGAGAUCGGGAGGAACAUCGGUGGCGAAGGCGACUGCCUGGACCAGCACUGACACUGAGGCACGAA
rnacentral:rRNA from 1 species